rnacentral:piRNA from 1 species
ACUCUGCCUUAGACUCAAAACAUGACC